AGAGUUUGAUCCUGGCUCAGAUUGAACGCUGGCGGCAGGCCUAACACAUGCAAGUCGAACGGUAACAGGAAGAAGCUUGCUUCUUUGCUGACGAGUGGCGGACGGGUGAGUAAUGUCUGGGAAACUGCCUGAUGGAGGGGGAUAACUACUGGAAACGGUAGCUAAUACCGCAUAACGUCGCAAGACCAAAGAGGGGGACCCUCGGGCCUCUUGCCAUCGGAUGUGCCCAGAUGGGAUUAGCUUGUUGGUGGGGUAACGGCUCACCAAGGCGACGAUCCCUAGCUGGUCUGAGAGGAUGACCAGCCACACUGGAACUGAGACACGGUCCAGACUCCUACGGGAGGCAGCAGUGGGGAAUAUUGCACAAUGGGCGCAAGCCUGAUGCAGCCAUGCCGCGUGUAUGAAGAAGGCCUUCGGGUUGUAAAGUACUUUCAGCGGGGAGGAAGGGAGUAAAGUUAAUACCUUUGCUCAUUGACGUUACCCGCAGAAGAAGCACCGGCUAACUCCGUGCCAGCAGCCGCGGUAAUACGGAGGGUGCAAGCGUUAAUCGGAAUUACUGGGCGUAAAGCGCACGCAGGCGGUUUGUUAAGUCAGAUGUGAAAUCCCCGGGCUCAACCUGGGAACUGCAUCUGAUACUGGCAAGCUUGAGUCUCGUAGAGGGGGGUAGAAUUCCAGGUGUAGCGGUGAAAUGCGUAG
rnacentral:rRNA from 1 species